rnacentral:rRNA from 1 species
ACGUACACUCCUACGGGAGGCAGCAGUGGGGAAUUUUGGACAAUGGGCGCAAGCCUGAUCCAGCCAUGCCGCGUGCGGGAAGAAGGCCUUCGGGUUGUAAACCGCUUUUGUCAGGGAAGAAAAGGUUCUGGCUAAUACCUGGGACUCAUGACGGUACCUGAAGAAUAAGCACCGGCUAACUACGUGCCAGCAGCCGCGGUAAUACGUAGGGUGCAAGCGUUAAUCGGAAUUACUGGGCGUAAAGCGUGCGCAGGCGGUUAUGCAAGACAGAGGUGAAAUCCCCGGGCUCAACCUGGGAACUGCCUUUGUGACUGCAUGGCUAGAGUACGGUAGAGGGGGAUGGAAUUCCGCGUGUAGCAGUGAAAUGCGUAGAUAUGCGGAGGAACACCGAUGGCGAAGGCAAUCCCCUGGACCUGUACUGACGCUCAUGCACGAAAGCGUGGGGAGCAAACAGGAUUAGAAACCCUAGUAGUCCCAUG